GAAGCACCGGCUAACUCCGUGCCAGCAGCCGACGGUAAUACGGGAGGGUGACGAGUACGUUAAUACGGUAAUUACGUGGGACGUAAAGCGCAUGCAGGUUGGUUUAGUUAAGUCAGAUGUAGAAACGGCCCGGGGCUACAACCGUACGGUAAUUGCUAUUUAGAAACUGGACAAACUAGAGUACUGUAGAGGGGGUAGAAUUUCAGGUGUAGCGGUGAAAUGCGUAGAGAUCUGAAGGAAUACCGGUGGCGAAGGCGGCCCCCUGGACAGAUACUGACACUCAGAUGCGAAAGCGUGGGGAGCAAACAGGAUUAGAUACCCUGGUAG
rnacentral:rRNA from 1 species